CGAGUGAGGGCCCUCUGGGUCCACCUCCCACCCGUGUUUAUCGUCCCUUGUUGCUUCGGCGGGCCCGCCGCAAGGCCGCCGGGGGGCUUCCGUCCCCGGGCCCGCGCCCGCCGAAGACACCUGUGAACGCUGUAUGAAGAUUGCAGUCUGAGCGAAAAGCUAAAUUUGUUAAAACUUUCAACAACGGAUCUCUUGGUUCCGGCAUCGAUGAAGAACGCAGCGAAAUGCGAUAAGUAAUGUGAAUUGCAGAAUUCAGUGAAUCAUCGAGUCUUUGAACGCACAUUGCGCCCCCUGGUAUUCCGGGGGGCAUGCCUGUCCGAGCGUCAUUGCUGCCCUCAAGCACGGCUUGUGUGUUGGGCCCUCGUCCCCCGGGACGGGCCCGAAAGGCAGCGGCGGCACCGCGUCCGGUCCUCGAGCGUAUGGGGCUUCGUCACCCGCUCUGUAGGCCCGGCCGGCGUCUGCCGACACCAUCAAUCUUUUUUCCAGGUUGACCUCGGAUCAGGUAGGGAUACCCGCUGAACUUAAGCAUAUCAAUAAGCGGAGGAAAAGAAACCAACAGGGAUUGCCUCAGUAACGGCGAGUGAAGCGGCAAGAGCUCAAAUUUGAAAGCUGGCUCCUUCGGGGUCCGCAUUGUAAUUUGCAGAGGAUGCUUCGGGAGCGGCCCCCAUCUAAGUGCCCUGGAACGGGCCGUCAUAGAGGGUGAGAAUCCCGUCUGGGAUGGGGUGCCCGCGACCAUGUGAAGCUCCUUCGACGAGUCGAGUUGUUUGGGAAUGCAGCUCUAAAUGGGUGGUAAAUUUCAUCUAAAGCUAAAUAUUGGCCGGAGACCGAUAGCGCACAAGUAGAGUGAUCGAAAGAUGAAAAGCACUUUGAAAAGAGAGUUAAAAAGCACGUGAAAUUGUUGAAAGGGAAGCGCUUGCGACUAGACUCGCCCACGGGGUAACAGCCGCUAUUCGUAGCGGUGCACUUCCCCGUGGUCGGGCCAGCGUCGGUUUGGGCGGCCGGUCAAAGGCCCUCGGAAUGUAACGCCUCUCGGGGCGUCUUAUAGCCGGGGGUGCCAUGCGGCCAGCCCAGACCGAGGAUCGC
rnacentral:rRNA from 1 species